rnacentral:rRNA from 1 species
GUGGGGAAUCUUGCGCAAUGGGCGAAAGCCUGACGCAGCCAUGCCGCGUGAAUGAUGAAGGUCUUAGGAUUGUAAAAUUCUUUCACCGGGGACGAUAAUGACGGUACCCGGAGAAGAAGCUCCGGCUAACUUCGUGCCAGCAGCCGCGGUAAUACGAAGGGGGCUAGCGUUGCUCGGAAUUACUGGGCGUAAAGGGCGCGUAGGCGGACAGCUUAGUCAGAGGUGAAAGCCCAGGGCUCAACCUUGGCAUGGCCUUUGAUACUGGCUGUCUUGAGUUUGGGAGAGGUGAGUGGAACUCCGAGUGUAGAGGUGAAAUUCGUAGAUAUUCGGAAGAACACCAGUGGCGAAGGCGACUCACUGGCCCAAUACUGACGCUGAGGCGCGAAAGCGUGGGGAGCAAACAGGAUUAGAAACCCUGGUAGUCC